UACAGAGGUCUCAACCGUUGUUCGGAUUCAUUGGGCGUAAAGGGUGCGUAGGCGGCGGGGCAAGUCUGGUGUGAAAAUCUCCGGGGCUUAACUCGGAAAGGUCAACUGAUACUGCGGGGCUAGAGUGCGGAAGGGGGCAACUGGAAUUCUCGGUGUAGCGGUGAAAUGCGUAGAUAUCGAGAGGAACACCUGCGGCGAAGGCGGGUUGCUGGGCCGACACUGACGCUGAUGCGCGAAAGCCAGGGGAGCGAACGGG
rnacentral:rRNA from 1 species